rnacentral:rRNA from 1 species
AAUCAUUUGUCUUUUAAAUGGAGACCUGUAUGAAAGGCAAAACGAGGGUUUAACUGUCUCCCUCUUCUGAUCAGUGAAAUUGACCUCCCCGUGCAGAGGCGGGGAUAAAAAAAUAAGACGAGAAGACCCUGUGGAGCUUUAGAUAUGGGGAGGAAAGAAGAAAACCCGCUUCUAAAGGGGGUACUACCUUAUAACCUUCCUGCGUCUUAGGUUGGGGCGACCCUGGAGUAAAAAAAACCCUCCACGAAGCUGGGUACACAGUCCCUAAAACAAAGAUUCUCCACUCUAAACCUCAGAACUUCUGACUAUACUGAUCCGGCACUCCCGAUCAACGGAACAAGUUACCCCAGGGAUAACAGCGCAAUCCUCUUCCAGAGUCCU